rnacentral:rRNA from 1 species
GCGCGCGAUUAAGGGCGUAUGGUGGAUGCCUUGACACAUUGUAACGAUGAAGGACGCGGCGUAGCUGCGAUAAGCUUCGGGGAGGUGCUUAGCAACCUUUGAUCCGGAGAUUUCCGAAUGGGGAAACCCCAUUGCGCAAACCGCAAUGAUCUAAGUCUAUAAAUGAUUUAGAGGUGCACCCGCUGAAGUGAAACAUCUCAGUAAGCGGAGGAAGAUAGAAAAAUUUUUAUUCCCCAAGUAGCGGCGAGCGAAAAGGGAAGAGCCUAAACUUAGUUGUUUAUCCGCAAGGGUGGGCAGUUGAGGGUUGCAAGAUUGAGACAAUUUUGUAAAUCGUAGGGAGCGAUUCGUCGCUUUUUGCGAUUUGCAAAAAAGUAGUUAAAAAUUAACUUGUUAGUCGAAGCUUCUGGAAAGAAGCGCCAAAGUGAGUGAUAGCCUCGUAGGCGAAAAUAAGUUAACUACUGUUUCUUUUCUUAAGUACUUCGAGACCAAAACAUCUUGAAGGAAUCUGCCAGUACUAUCUGGUAAGGCUAAAUAUACAAUGUGAUCGAUAGUGAACUAGUACCGUGAGGGAAAGGUGAAAAGCACCCCGGCGAGGGGGAUGAAAUAGUAUCUGAAACCAUAUGUCUACAAGGAACGGAAGUCCAACGCGCGCAGCACAACAGGCGUAUCGCAAAUCGCGUAUCGCAAAUCGCAAACGGAAUUAUUUUAAAAAAAUCUUCCAUCUGCGAUUCGCUAUAUGCCAUUAGCAAUAUGCUUGUCGUGCUGUGCGUGCGGACGACCGUGUGCCUAUUGAAGAAUGAGCCAACGACUUUACGGUCAUCGCUUGUCUAACUCUGAUUAAACGGAGGAAGGCUCAGCGAAAGCGAGUGUUAAUAGCGCGUGGCGGACGCAAGUUCGUCGUGCGGUGAUCGUAAGACCCGAAGCCAAGGCGAGCUUACCCUGAACAGGAUGAACCCGAGCGAAAGCGAGGGGGAGGUCCGAACUAGUGAAUUGUGCAAAAUUCUUGGAUGAUUUGGGGUAAGAAGUGAAAAGCUAAUCGAGCUUGGUAAUAGCUGGUUCUCUCCGAAAUAGUUUUCGGACUAGCGCCACGCAAAAACGAUACGGGGGUAGAGCUACUGGUUAAUUUGUAAUGGGCGAAAGCUCGGCAAAUCAGUCAAACUCCGAAUACCGUAUUGGAGGUGUGGUAGUUAGACUGUGGGGGCAAAGCUCCAUAGUCGCGAGGGGAAUAGCCCAGAUCGCCGUCUAAGGUCCCCAAAUUCUUGCUCAGUGUUAAAGGUAGUCAUUAACCGCAGACAGGCAGGAGGUUGGCUUAGAGGUAGCCAUCCUUUAAAGAGUGUGUAACAACUCACUGCUCGAUGGUUCGUGGCGCCGAAAAUGUACCGGGGCUUAAGCAAGAUACCGACGACGCGGAUUUACCGGCUUUAUUGCCGGUAAGUGGUAGGAGAGCAUUCCAAUCUGCUGUGAAGAUUCACCCGUGAGGGGGAUUGGAGCGUUUGGAAGAGAGAAUGUUGGCAUGAGUAACCAUCAAAGUCGAUGAGAAAUCGACUCCCCGCAAAUCCAAGGUUUCCGUGGCAAUGGCAAUCAACCACGGGUUAGGCGAUCCUAAGGCAAUGGCGAAAACCGUAGCUGAUGGGUAGCCGGUUAAUAUUCCGGCCCGCCUUUUAUAUUCGAUGGAGGGACGGAGGACAUAAGUCGGAGCGCCUUAAUGGUUUGGCGUCGAGGACAUUAAGCGGUGAUUUCCAGGCAAAUCCGGAAAUCUGCCUUUGAUGGCGAUCGCGCGUGUUCGCGUAAGGCUAAGUUUUUACUUGGCUAAUUUCGAUGAAGAGACUCCCGAGAAAAGCUUCUAAGAUUAGUAUAAGAGGCAUCGUACCGUAAACCGACACUGGUGGGUGAGGCGAGAAGCCUCAGGGGAACGAGUGAGGCAUCCUCAAGGAACUAGGCAAAAAAGCGGCCGUAAGUUCGCAAUAAGGCCUGCCCUUCGCAAGAAGGGCCGCAGCGAAAGUAUCUCUGGCGACUGUUUACUAAAAACACAGCUCCCUGCAAACUCGUAAGAGGACAUAUAGGGGGUGAGACCUGACCGAUGCGAGAAGGUUAACGGUGGGGGUUUUUCUAUAGCAAUAUGGUAAAGCUCACUGCCCGAAGCCCUCGUCAAUCUCGGCCGUAACUAUAACGGUCCUAAGGUAGCGCAAUUCCUUUCCGGGUAAGUUCCGGAGCGCUGAAUGGUAAAAUGAUCGGACAACUGUCUCAAGGAAGAGCUCGGUGAAAUUGCGAUUCCCGUGAAGACGCGGGAUACCUGCAACGGGACGAAAAGACCCCGGGAGCUUUACUGUAGCUUGAUAUUGGCUUUAAAAUUUUUAUGCGUAGUGUAGUGGUGAGGGGAUGAAGUCUGGUUUUCGGAUC